AUUGAACGCUGGCGGCAGGCCUAACACAUGCAAGUCGAACGAGCGGCGGACGGGGGAGUAAUGUCUGGGAAACUGCCUGUUGGAGGGGGGUAACAACUGGAAACGGUAGCUAAUACCGCAUACAAUCAGGUGUGCCCAGAUGGGAUGAGCUAGUGGGUGGGGUAACGGCCCACCUAGGCGACGAUCCCUAGCUGGUCUGAGAGGAUGACCAGCCACACUGGAACUGAGACACGGUCCAGACUCCUACGGUAGGCAGCAGUGGGGAAUAUUGCACAAUGGGCGAAAGCCUGAUGCAGCCAUGCCGCGUGUGUGAAGAAGGCCUUCGGGUUUUAAAGCACUUUCAGCGGGGAGGCGUUACCCGCAGAAGAAGCACCGGCUAACUCCGUGCCAGCAGCCGCGGUAAUUC
rnacentral:rRNA from 1 species